AACUGUGGAUUUCCUAUGCGGAAGGAACGGAACGGAGGGAAAACUGGACGACAUAAAACGAUUACUUCUCGUUUUAGUAAUGACUAAAGUAAUCAAUCAAGGUUCAGCCUUGAUCUGCCCAACUAAAGAAUCGGGCGUGCGAAAGUUCCGAUUAGCCGAUGAAUCCAUCGACUGAAUCAGGCCAUACGACUGUAACGAAACGGUAUAUUUAAAUUUAUUUGCUCCGGAAAACGAAAUUGACGACAACUGGAUCGUUCCGAUAGAAAAAUCAAUUUGUAUAGCAGAUUCGGAUUCCAGGGCUUAAAGGACAUCGGUAUAGGCCCAGAAGCGGCAACAGUAGCAGAGACCGUCUUCUGAUCCACCUUUAAUAUACGCCCAAGAACCACGUCUGGAUUUGCGAGCGAAGUGACGAGAAACCUGAGAACUCUGACAUGAUCUAUAAUCCAGUUGGUGAGUGUGGAAUAUUACCCGAUGGUUCGAGGUAGCAAUAAUAAUUGGCGAUAUUUUCACUCCUCUCAUAUCUCUCUUUUACCCUUUCGAUUCGCAAUUUCUUCCAUCUCUUUUUAUCAUCGCGCCUUCGGUGUUAAAAUCUGUAUAGUUAAGUAUGUAGUGGUCGUAGUCAACUGCUUGUAUAUUAUAUACUUUCAAAAAUCAACAACGCUUGU